rnacentral:lncRNA from 1 species
CUCAGAUCCACACUGCAAGGAAGAAAUACACAUAGACAACAUGAAAAAACAAGGGAGGAAAGUGCUCCAAACAAACUAGGAUAGUAUAAUAACAUAACCUAUGUACAGUGAAGUUGAUGAAAUGUCAGAGAAGAAGUUCAGAAGGUUCAUAAUUAAAAUGAUCUGUGAAUUAAAGAAUGGCCUAAAUGAGCAAAUACAGGCAAAAAUUGAUCACUCCAACAAAAAGAUAAGAGAGCAAAUACAGGUAGCAAAGGAUUACUUCAAGACAGAGAUAGAGACUCUGAAAAAUUAACCAGUAAAAAAAAAUCCUUAAAUUGAAGGAUGCAAUAAAUCAAAUAAAAAAUCAAUAGAAAACAUAACCAAAAGACUAGAUUAUUUGGAAGAAAGAACGUCAGAUAAUGAAGACAAAGUAUACAAUCUAGAAAAUAAAGUUGAUCACACAGUGAAGAUAGUAAGAAACCAUAAACAGAACAUACAAGAAUUAUUUGACUGCAUCAAAAGAUCAAAUAUAAGAGUUAUUGGGAUACAGGAAGGCACAGAGUUUCAAACCAAAGGAAUGCACAAUCUCUUUAAUGAGAUAACAUCAGAAAAUUUCCCAAGCAUGAAGAACGAAAUGAAAAACCAAAUACAAGAGGCUUACAGGACACCAAAUGUACAAAAUUACAACAGAUCUACACCAAUUCACAUUAUAAUGAAAAUGCCUAGCAUACAGAAUAAGAAUAGAAUCUUAAAGCCUGCAAGAGAAAGAAAUCAGAUCACAUAUUGAGGGAGACCAAUUUGUAUCUCAGCAGAUAUUUUAACCCAGACCCUCAAAGCCAGGAAAUUAUGGAACAACGUAUACCAAGCUCUGAUAGAAAAAUGGAUGCCAACCAAGAAUCUUCUAUCCAGCAAAACUAAGCUUUAAAUUAGAUGAUGAAAUAAAAACCUUCCAUGAUAAACAAAAGUUAAAAGAAUUUUCAACUAGAA